rnacentral:ncRNA from 1 species
UAAAAAUUUGAUUUUAGUUUUUUAAUUUAAUUUAUAUUUUAAUUAUAUGUAUAUUUUUAUUUAUAAUUAUUAUUGAUUGAUAAUUAUUUAUAUAUAUUAUGCAAUAAUAAAAUUUAUACAAUAAAAGAAUUUUUGAUAUAGGAAUAUAUAAUAAUAUUGGUUAAAUUUGUGCCAGCAACCGCGGUUAAACAAAUAAUAUAAUUAAAUUUUUAUUUAAUAAUAAUUAAUAAAAUAAUAAUCUAAUUAAUUUUAAAUUGAAUUUAUUAGGUGAAAUUGUAAAUUUAAAUAGGAUUAAUAAUUUACUUUAUAAAAUUAUGAAAUUUUUAUUAUAAACUAGGAUUAGAUACCCUAUUAUAGGAAAUAUAAAUUAAUUUUAUUAGGGGAGUAUUAGGUAUGUUCUUGAAAUUUAAAAAAUUUGGCGGUAUUUUAGUCUUUUUAGAGGAACCUGUUUUGUAAUCGAUAAUCCACGAUUAAUUUUACUUGAUUUACAAGUUUAUAUACCGUCGUAAUUAGAAUAUUUUAUAAAGGAAUUGAAUAUUCAAAAUUUAUAUUAUAAAAAAAAUCAGAUCAAGGUAUAGCUUAUAAUUAAGGAAUAAUGGGUUACAAUAAAAUUAUUUAUAUGGUUAUAAUAAUUAACAUUAUUAUAUAAAGUGGAUUUAAAAGUAAUAUGUUUAAUUUAAAAUAUGUGAUUUAAGCUCUAAAAUAUGCACAUAUCGCCCGUCGCUUUCAUUGAAAUGUAAAGUGAAAUAAGUCGUAACAUAGUAGAUGUACCGGAAGGUGUUUCUGGUUUGGC